GAGAGAGAGAGAGAGAGAGAGAGAGGGGAGUAGAGGUUCCUCAGUCCGAGUGAUCGGCACCAUUCCAACCGGAAAGGCGCCGACGAAUCGACCUUUCAGGUGGACCUCCUCCCUGUGUGUCCAGUAAGGAAGCUGAUCGGGAAGGCCUGAAACCAAGCCCCGAUCAGCCAAUCGAGGAUCUUCCUGGCGAAGCUGAGCUCACAGACAGGUAGACGAGGUGUAGAAGGACCGAUCCACAGACUCCAACUGGUUCGAAAUUUCAAUUUUAGUUGCUGGCGAAGAAAGUAAACUUCAUUCCCGAUCACCUGUCAACUGUUUGUUGAAAUUCCAGAAUGAGUGCCUGAACCAUUUUGAGCUUGAUUCCGUGAUUUUCUUCUUGAUUUUGUGAUUAUUGAUCCCUUAAUCAUGUUUCUAAUUGAUUACUUUCCUGUUUGAUGUAUUUUGGAUCACAUUUUUGCAUAAUCCAUGAGGCGGCCCCCUUAAAACCACCUCGCCGGAGCAUUCGAGCCUUACCGGAGCACCUUUCCAUGGCCAAUGGCUAUCCAAAGAAUUAUGGGUUUCAUAAACAUGCCUUACAAUUGGCAAUGAGCUUCUUUUGUAACAAGCACAGCAUAAGCAAAUGUGAGAAGCCAUAGUGCUUGAGCUUAUACACAAAACCGGAAACUGAAUGUCCUGGAGCUCCAUGAUUGCUUGUGAUGCAGUUUCACCCUGGGCGUUUUCUCACCUUUCCUUCAAGGAGCCAUUGUUAGACCUUUUGAGUUCCCAAGGCGGUAGACAGCCUCUCAAGGGAGAACGGAGGAAUAACGAGGACGUGGAUAACUGCUUCUGCCUCAUCGAUAUCGACGACAGGCAACUGAAGUUGUUUGUUAACCUCCGCUUCUCACUUUCGCAUGGUUGGCAGUUAGGUUCAUGACGUACCGUAGUGAUCUUAAGGGUUUCGGAAAGUAAGCAGUUGCAGGCAGAACCUAUGAUGGACCAGAUAAAGAGGAAAUUCUCAAACACUUAAGAGAGUAACCAACAGGAAAAAUUGAAGAAUAUUAUGGAAUAAAAGGAGUACUGUUUUCUUUUCUAUA